rnacentral:rRNA from 1 species
AACGAACGCUGGCGGCAUGCCUAACACAUGCAAGUCGAACGAGACCUUCGGGUCUAGUGGCGCACGGGUGCGUAACGCGUGGGAACCUGCCCUUAGGUUCGGAAUAACUCCCCGAAAGGGGUGCUAAUACCGGAUAAUGUCUUCGGACCAAAGAUUUAUCGCCUUUGGAUGGGCCCGCGUUGGAUUAGCUAGUUGGUAGGGUAAAAGCCUACCAAGGCGACGAUCCAUAGCUGGUCUGAGAGGAUGAUCAGCCACACUGGGACUGAGACACGGCCCAGACUCCUACGGGAGGCAGCAGUGGAGAAUAUUGGACAAGGGGCGAAAGUCUGAUCCAGCAAUGCCGCGUGAGUGAUGAAGGCCUUAGGGUUGUAAAUCUCUUUUACCCGGGAUGAUAAUGACAGUACCGGGAGAAUAAGCUCCGGCUAACUCCGUG